GGGGAAUUUUGGACAAUGGGGGCAACCCUGAUCCAGCCAUCCCGCGUGUGCGAUGAAGGCCUUCGGGUUGUAAAGCACUUUUGGCAGGGAAGAAACAGCCUGGGAUAAUACCCUGGGCGACUGACGGUACCUGCAGAAUAAGCACCGGCUAACUACGUGCCAGCAGCCGCGGUAAUACGUAGGGUGCAAGCGUUAAUCGGAAUUACUGGGCGUAAAGCGUGCGCAGGCGGUUCGGAAAGAAAGGUGUGAAAUCCCAGGGCUUAACCUUGGAACUGCACUUUUAACUACCGAGCUAGAGUACGUCAGAGGGGGGUAGAAUUCCACGUGUAGCAGUGAAAUGCGUAGAGAUGUGGAGGAAUACCGAUGGCGAAGGCAGCCCCCUGGGAUGAUACUGACGCUCAUGCACGAAAGCGUGGGGAGCAAACA
rnacentral:rRNA from 1 species